AAACACUAUUUUCUUAUAGGCUGGACCAGUUCCAAUAUGCUUCUAUUUUACAGACAUAUUAAUAGUCAUUCUCUAAAAACCAACACAUAAUUCUGCCUCUGUACAGAAAGAUGCCCACAGAACAGAAAGGAUGUUUCUUAAUCUGUGGUGAAAUGUUGUUUUUAAAACAGCAGUAUUUCCAAUUUCCAGAGUGAAGUUCAUCUAUCACUCAUAGUUUCCCACCCCAUAAUCCUGUUUCUCCAUUUGCUAACAAUUCCACAAUAUUUCUAGUAUUUUCUAUUUCUAAGGUUUUAGUACAGAUGACUACUUCACACUGAAGUUUGCCUUUAAGAAAUUAAAAAAUUGAAAAAUAUUUACCAAAUGUCCUCAAAUAUUCUUUGCUGUACACUUGUUAUCCUGCAUUUGGUUUUCAGAGUAAAAUUAAAGAACUAUCAGCAGCAAUAAAGUCAGUAACCUACUCAGUGUUUGUACAGCAGGACAAAGGUGGUCAUUACCAGGUGAUAAUGCACAGCACCAAUGAGGUUAACCACCAGCUUGCAAGUUAACUCCCUGGAUCUCUACUCACUGAAAGUGUCUAUCUGCUACAGUAAAACUUCUUCGUAUUUAUUUCACUCAAUUCCUGUAUUGCAAAGUUAAUACUGCUUCUGUAAAGGGCCUUACUGAAUAUAUUGAUAUAAAUGGAGAAAUAUUGAAGAUUACUUGACAUUAUAAUCACAAUUGGGCAACAGCAUACUUUGCUGACAAAACAGAAGUUGUGGGAUUUUGUUGUUUGGGUUUUGGGGGUUUUACUUUAAAAAAACCCAAAACUUUUUCAUUGUGUUCUCAGCCUCAACAGCAAAAUAGUUAAUUGCAUCUAUGCCAGGUGUUUCAUUAAUCCAGUUAGCUAUUAGACAAACCCUGCAGGAAAACAGAAGACAACAGCCUCUCUACCCUUCCCUUCUCCCAGACCAUACUCGCCUCCUCCCCCUCCAUUCCCCUAUAGGAACUGACUGAUGACAGAGCCACCCUUUCAACUUGAAGGCUGAAACUAUAGAAAAUUCCAUGCUUAGUCAGGAAACACAGAAAACCAGCAGAUGUAAGUAUGAACUGUAUUUCUCCUGUUAAGAUUUAAGACAAAACAUCUAAAUAUGUGGGAUUUGGAUUCAAUCACUUUUGACUGACCUACUCUAAGCAGAUGUGCUAAUGAACAUUUCACCUUCACAUUGAGACAAAAGUCCUUAAAAUUCCUCUGCUAACAGUGAUUAUAGACUAGGCUGUUUGGAGUAGGGAUAAGGAAAGCAGGAGAGAUCUGUGAAAGAAGUUGUACUUUUUCAGGAUUUGUUUGCUGUAUUUGAUCAGUCUUUUUUGGACAAACAUCUUUGUUCACACAGUAGGAGCUGAGGAAAGAUUCUAGAGGGUUAUCAUAAAAACAGGAGAAAUUUGCUCAGACUGUGAGGCUGAAGGAUCCAGCGUGCACAAGAAUCUUUGUCUCCUAAAUGCAAUCUGGGAAACUGAUUUCUG
rnacentral:lncRNA from 1 species